UUCCCUAUUUCAAAUUCAAUCAUUGAUUUCCCUAUUUUAACUGUAAAAUGUUUAUUUCUUUAGUUAUUAGAAAGUGGGUGAUGUUUAUUUCAUGCCUUAUUUACCGUGGUCUAUCCAUCUCUUUCUUUUGAGCUCGAGAAGUGAAAGGAACUAAAGAAGAUGAUGGUAAUCCUUGGGUCGAUCUGCUGUUUUGCUUUUGUAUUUGAGAACGGCUGAUAGAAUCUUAGGUACUUCAGACUAAUUGAUGCUUCAUUAGGAUAUAACUACUGAUUGGAUGCAUAAGAGAACCGCCGUACUCGGUACUACAUACUUUCUCCAGUUUGAAUAACUUAUCUUAACAAUACAAUAGCUGAAUGAUUUGCUUGUAUGUUUCUCUUUCAGGUUAGAGAGAAAGAUUUUGAUGUGAAUUUUUGGAUAAAAUCCCUGAUUUCUCUUACUUGGAUUAUGCUGAAUCGGAUUUUUUAACAAGAUUGAUCGUUGCGGAUGAGAUUGACUACUUAAUAACACAAGAACGGACUGUGCUACAUGACCUUUUCAUGCUUACCAACCACCUGUUCUCCAAAUGCAUGUUAAUAGGAAUUGCAAAUGCCAUAGACCCAGCUGAUCGCUUUCUACCAAAGCUUGAAUCCUUGAAUUGUAAGGGUUCUUAUUAUAUUUGCUAUAGUGAAAAUUGAAGGCAUCUCUAGAACAGGCAAAUGAGUCUGCCUUUUGUUCCCGACACUCCUUCAUAUCUUGUGUUCUGCAUUCUUGCGUCUCACUAUGGGAGCAAUAUUUAGUCAA